rnacentral:rRNA from 1 species
AAUCAACGCUGGCGGCGUGCCUCAGACAUGCAAGUCGAACGCGAAAGUUCCCUUCGGGGAGCGAGUAGAGUGGCGCACGGGUGAGUAACACGUAGGUAAUUUGCCUUCGGGUGGGGAAGUAUCAAUCGGAAACGGUUGUUAAUACCGCAUAAUGCAGCGGCUCGACAUCGAGACAGUUGUUAAAGCGGGGGAGUUGGAGCAAUCCGACCUCGCGCCUGAAGAGAAGCCUGCGGCAGAUUAGCUAGUUGGUAAGGUAAU